rnacentral:rRNA from 1 species
GGAGAUUCAUCGUCAAAGUAUUAAGGUAUUACGCAUGUUAUGAUAUGACAAAUAAUCCUUGUGGUUAGUAUGUUGUACAUUCUUGUGCUAUUUUGCUUAGUAUGUCGGCGUGCACUUCUCCUCUAGUAGAACAUCGCGACCCGUUGGAUGUUGAUCUAUGACCUAAAUGGUUGACUUUGACUUUGCUUGCCUUGUCGGAGACCCUUAGUAUUCUGAUCAUCUGUUUGACGGUACUCAUAUGGUAAAAAGUCGCUAUUUUUGCGUUAAAUCCCUUGCAAGUGUGGUUAAUGUUUGGUAGUAUGGAUCUGAUGCCAUCACUGAUAUUUACCCACUGUUAGCAUGUGGUGUUCUUUAACUGACUUAAUACCGGUCAGCGAUGCUACUGCUUUGGGUACUUUCAGGACCCGUCUUGAAACACGGACCAAGGAGUCUAACAUGUGCGCAAGUCAUUGGGACUUUUUAAAUAAACCUAAAGGCAUAAUGAAAGUAAAGAUUGUUGUAUGAUAAUUAAAGGAAGAUGGGGUACGUUACGAUAUAGUCCCGCAUUCCCGGG